rnacentral:lncRNA from 10 species
AAAAAAAAAAAAAAAAAAAGAAAGAAAGAAAGACGGCCUGGCAGAAGGGGUGGAAGGACUGGAGUACAGGAAGACAAGUAGUCCAGACAACUGGUAUUCAGGGCUCAAUUUAAGAUACUGAAUAAGGAGAGAUCAGAAGUGCAUGGCAUUGCAAAGGCAGGAAGAUUCAAUAAGAUGACCAAUGAGAUGUGCCAGGUGAGGAGGAAUCAAAAGUGAUUCCAGGUCUCCCGCUUCCUUUACAAACAGGUGGAAGCUACUUGCUCCUCCCUCAAUCCUCCUGCUCAGUCAAGUUUGUUCAGGCCAAAGCCUUUGGCUUCAUCUUUGACUCCUCUCUUUCGCUCACACCCCACAUCCGGUCCAAUCAACAUUCAUUCAACAAAUAUUAACUGAUGCCAGACAGUAUUCUAAGUACAGGGAACGCAGCAAGACAAAAACACCUGCCUUCCUGAAGCUGCAUCUAGUGAGAGAAACAGGUAAUAAAUAAGAUAAAUAAGCAAAAUAUAUCAUAUGUUAGAUUAUAAAUACUAAGGAUUAAAAUAAAGCAGAGUAGUAAUAGAAGUGUAGGGGAAAGGAGUCGCAAUCUUAGAUAAAUCUGUCAGCAAACUGUAUCAAUGGUGGCACAAACAUAUAGUCCUAGCUACUUGGGAGCUGAGGGAGAGGACAUCAGUAGAAUGAGAAAUUGAAGAUCUAAAAGUGAAAAAACAAGCACCAGAAAAGGUAUGGCAUUAAGAGCAUCAGAAAUACCCUACCUUUAAGGGUAGCAGAGAUGCCUCUGCCUCUGAAGCAGGGGAGAACGGGAAGCAUGGGUAAAUAUAUGAAGCGGUGGGGCAGUUGAGAAGUGUUUUUGAUGGUACAGAUGGUACAAAUCCUAAGAGUGAAGGGGGCAGACCUUAAGGAGAGAAGUGGUGUAGCCAUUAUUGAAAUUUAGAAUAAAAAUGGACUAAAAAUACCCAAAGGACUGUCCUAGAACAAUGAAAGGCUGGCAGGGGCUCAAAACCCUAAGUUCUUGACAGAGCUAGUUAGGAUGGCUCUUUUUUUUUUUUUUUUUUAAGACAGAGUCUCACUCACUCUGUCGCUCAGGCUGGAGUGCAUUGGUGCUAUCUCAGCUCACUGCAACCUCCAUCUCCUGGGUUCAAGUGAUUCUCCUGCCUCAGCCUCCCAAGUAGCCGGGAUUACAGGCACAUGCCACCACGCCUGGCUAAUUUUUUGUAGUCUUAGUAGACAUGGGGUUUCACCAUGUUGACCAGGCUGGUUUUGAACUCCUGGCCUCAAGUGAUCCACCUGCCUCAGCCUCCCAAAGUGCUGGGAUUACAUGUGUGAGCCACUGUGCCAGGCCCAGCAUGGCUCUUUGAUGUUUCCCUCGCAGUGUUUGGGGGCCUACUCACAGCUGCAGUGAAAACAACUGGCUGAGUAGAUAGAAAACUGACAAUGGACAGGGCAGAGAAAACAGAAAGGGCAAGGGGGCUAGGGACUUGAAGGGCUGGGAAAAAUGGAACUGAACCAACCAACCCAGAGAUCCCCCAACUCAGGAUCCGAAUGCUUUCACUGUGGUGAGGACUGGGCCUAACAACCAGAGUCUCUCUGUAUGGCAGACAGCUGAGGACUUAGGGCAGAGGCCAAGGAGUUGGCUUUUGUGCUGAGCACAGAGAGAAGCCGGUGAUGGGAUCUCAGGUAAACUCCGGAAUAAAGCAUUUUAGAGGGUGACUCACAACUGUCUAGAGAGUAGACUCGAGAGAUGGUGCCACAGGCGGAGAGGUAAGGAGAAGUGGGUUUCAGGAACUCCUCAGCUAAUCUGGAGGCCUGGACACGGUUGAAAUGGGCCUGUGAAAGCAGUUCAGAAAGGAGUAAUAUAUUUAGUGCCUCGGGAGUAGGGGUGGAGAGUGCUGCCAGAGCCACUCCUGACACUAAUACAACACAAUGUUUAUGAUAUCAGCCAAGGGAAGCCUUAAAGGGCUCAGGCUCUUUGCUUGAAGUGUGGUUUAAAGUAGCUUUCAAGGCAAAACUCAAGAGCCUUACUAAAGGAUUAACUGUAGAAUUAUUCCAAUUUGAGGAAUCCGAGGAUUACACCUAAGUCAGUUGGCAUUUGAUAUGUUUUGUAACAGCCCACUUUAAUAGGGUUCAGUUUCCUUUAUCAAAUUUUAAUAGAGAGACUGAAAGUGUGAUAUAAGUAUGAAUUUAUUGACAUGAACUUCCUUUAGCUAUUACUCUAACACAGGGUAUCAAAGAGCUGA